AGGCAGGACAUGGCAGGUGACAGCUUCUUUUGAAGAUAAGCAGGGGAGAGAAGUCCAAGGACAGAGCUAGGCAGUGUUCUGACGCAGAGACCUCACACCUGGGAGACACCAGCCAGGGGUGUUGGGCUCUUCCCAAUGCAACCCUCAUGAAUAAAUCAGGAGCUACAUCCUUCCUGUGGGAAGGAAAGAAUGAGAAGGGGAAGAAAGCACUCAGAAGAAGGCGCUCCAGUACUGCUCCCACCCGGGGUACAGAUGACCGCGACUCGAAUGUGCGCCGAGCCAGGAAUGAGGACACUGUGAACGGACACUCUCUACUGUACAUUUGAAAGUGAAGGGGAAAAAAUAACUAUGCAAAACCAAGAGGUGGCGGAGAAGACCGUGACAGCGUACAGACCGUGGUACGAGAACGAAGUAGCCACAGAAACUCGGCUAACUCACUGGUCCCGAGUCUCGGAAGGCUUGGCUCCUUUUUUAAAAACUAAACCCCAUGCGAGAAGACGGUGCCGGAGCCCUGUGCUGGUGUGCGACUCCUCUGCAGUCCCAACGUGCUUCAGAGUAAGGGAGUCUGCGACCAGAGAUCUUUUUCAUGACGACGUCUGUAUAAAACAGCCGCAGGCUCUGUGAGGUACCUGAGCUACGCACCUGCUAGACCUAAUGGGCUUCGCUGAACUCCACUGCACAAAGUCAAGCCCCCCUCCUCACUGCUGACGUCCUGUCAUGUGGUCCAGCUACCACCGUGCCUCAACCAUCACGCUUUUCCUAUUCCUAGUGCAUUAGCGGACACGCAGAUACCUAGCUUUGCUGUUAUCAGCAAACUUCUACCAUACUGCCCUUUCUGUUAGAAGUCAGUUUUACAAGUUUUACGGUUAGAGGACAAGAUGUACUAUUCUUCCUGGGACAGUACACCCAGUUAGGCUACAUUUCAAGUGAAUAUGCCUGUAUAACUGUGCACUGGCUUAAGGAGAAGCCUACUCCUACAGAAAAAACAUGGGCUGUGCAGUUAGAACCUUGAGUCUGAAUCCCAUCUCUACCAACUUGCUGUGUAAUUUGGUCAAGUUACUUACCUUGCCCUCCCUGACCCUCAGUGUCCUCAUCUUCCCAAAUGUGCAAGGGGGGCAGAUAAGACCUACCUUGCCGGGCUGCCGUUAAACGGAACGAGGGACCGGGCGCAGUGCACACGAGGGCCCCCCAACAACGACUAGCACCAAGUGUAAUCAUGCGACCCGCAGACCUUCUGCUCCCUCUCUGACCCCCAGCUUCCUUCCUUUCCCAUCGGCCUCCCGCACCUCCCUCACUUCUCUCUACACUGGGAGUUUCCUCAGUAUCCACAACCCCUUCCCUCACCACACCCCACCCCCACUGUGCCCCAGUACUUCUCCCAGAAGCAAUCACUGUCUGGAGCCUCCCCCAAGUACACAUCUACACAGCAUUUCUUGUAACAACUUCCCCUGUUGCCUGUCCAGCCCCCCAGCCCCAUAAACCCCACCACCACCCUCACUCCCCUGCCUGUCCCCAUCCCGUCUACUUGCGCAGAAGAAAAAUGCCCUUAUCAGAGCUUGCUGGCUGCACGGGUUUUGGAAAAAGACAGUGCUUACUAUAUUCAUACUCUAUUUCAAUCUUACUGCACUCUCCAAAUACUGCCAUUGUCAUUUACUAAGGUCUAAGGCCCACCUUGACCUUCCCAGAUAUUUUUUUUUCCAACCCUGCCUCUUUUGACUGCCUCACUGUGUGCAGAAUGCUUAAGAGGCACUGGAAAUGCAGAGGCCUAAGACUCACCCUGAUAGGGACUCCUAAAGACAAAGAACUAAUCCUCCCCACCCACAGGCUUGGAGUGGGACUAAACGGAGACCAGAGGAUUUGAAGAGUCUUUCUUAU